GGUGAUCCAGUGGGUGGAGUGUUUUGUCUGUAUUUCCAGCAGACAUUGAUGACUGUUCUUACACCUUCUGUCUCUCUAAGACGGCAUAAAACAGAGAGCAGACUAGGUAGCUUGACUGGAUGGUCUGCUUGUUUCCUGUGAAAAUGCAAAUGGUUCCAAUUGGACUGGCACACCAGGAGAAUACUUAAUUCAAUUUAUAAUCGAAAACCCAGUGCCAACCCUGGAUUUUGACUGAUUUUAUUUGAUUUUACAUAUAAAUCAUGCAUGCUCAUCAUCAUGAAAGCAAUGUGACUUUUUAAAAAAUUCUGAAAUCCCACUUUAAAUCUCCCUAAUGUUGCUUUUUAACAUAACUCCUUCCCCCACCAAUUCUCUUUGCAUUUCAGCAUACAUUGUAUGUUGUCUCUAUGGCUGCUGCUUCCAGGUUGUUGUUCCUACUGGACCACCGGCACAUGCACAAUUCAUAUAAUGUUGUCUCUGAUGACAUCAGUGCCUAUUCCCGUGCAUAUAGUAUUAUAGCAUGGACAAGUUUCUUAAAGCGGGACUGUCACUUCCCAGGAAUUUUAAUUAUCAUGUUUACUUAGCCCCUAUCUUUAACAAUUUUAUAUUUGUGAGGUGUGAAAAAUAAAAUUAAAUGUAAAAAUCCACACCUGCUUAUCUUGGAACUGGGUGCCCCAUCUUAGCCUUUGGGUAAUCAUCGUUAUAAGCUCUGUCCAUCGCAUCUGUAACUAAAGAGAAAGCAUAUAGAGAAGGGUUUUAUUUCUCCUCCUCAUUUGCAAUAUUUGCCCUGGCUGUUCCUAGACUGAAAAAAUAAAUACAUGUUUGCAUAAGUGAUUUUCAAUGUUUUUCUCUUUGGUAUAAUUUCUACUGUUCCCCAUUAGUCUGUGUCUAUGUACUUAUGCACAUACGACUCUUUAGUGCAAUGACAUCAGCAGC